UAUAUAAUAUUAUGCCAGGUAUGAAUUAACAAAUCAAAUCAAAUCAAAUUUCUUUAUUACGAAUAUGGGUAAACAGUGUAGAUGUUAUAAAGACAAAAAGGGUACAGCCAAAUUCUGCCUAUAAGCAUGCAAUAUGUUACAUUAAAUUACAAU